rnacentral:rRNA from 1 species
AUCCUCGUGCUUGCACAGAAUGAUUAGUGGCGAACGGGUGAGUAACACGUGAGUAACCUGCCCUUGACUUCGGGAUAAGCCUGGGAAACCGGGUCUAAUACCGGAUACGACCUCCUGGCGCAUGCCAUGGGGGUGGAAAGCUUUAUGCGGUUUUGGAUGGACUCGCGGCCUAUCAGCUUGUUGGUUGGGGUAAUGGCCCACCAAGGCGACGACGGGUAGCCGGCCUGAGAGGGUGACCGGCCACACUGGGACUGAGACACGGCCCAGACUCCUACGGGAGGCAGCAGUGGGGAAUAUUGCACAAUGGGCGGAAGCCUGAUGCAGCGACGCCGCGUGAGGGAUGACGGCCUUCGGGUUGUAAACCUCUUUCAGCAGGGAAGAAGCGAAAGUGACGGUACCUGCAGAAGAAGCGCCGGCUAACUACGUGCCAGCAGCCGCGGUAAUACGUAGGGCGCAAGCGUUAUCCGGAAUUAUUGGGCGUAAAGAGCUCGUAGGCGGUUUGUCGCGUCUGCUGUGAAAGCCCGGGGCUCAACCCCGGGUCUGCAGUGGGUACGGGCAGACUAGAGUGAUGUAGGGGAG